CAGUCGCCGCGGUAAUACAGAGGGUGCAAGCGUUAAUCGGAUUUACUGGGCGUAAAGGGCGCGUAGGUGGUUAUUUAAGUGAGAUGUGAAAGCCCCGGGCUUAACAUGGGAACUGCAUCUUAUACUGGGUAACUGGAGUGCAGUAGAGGGUAGUGGAAUUUCCGGUGUAGCGGUGAAAUGCGUAGAUAUCGGAAGGAACACCAGUGGCGAAGGCGGCUACCUGGACUGAGACUGACACUGAGGCGCGAGAGCGUGGGGAGCAAACAGGAUUAGAUACCCCAGUAGUCCCUGUCUCUUAUAC
rnacentral:rRNA from 1 species